AAAGAAAGAAAUGGACUCCGGCCAUAGAUUUUUCAAUUCUUUGCGCCUCAGUCAUAAAAUCAAUUCUUUAUCUUAAGAUUAUUGAUGGUAACUCGGUAUGGAGUUGAUCAAGGACCACACAUCCAAGGUCCAAAAAGGAGAGCCCGCAUCAAUUAAAGUAUCCCAUGGGGACACAGGGAACAUGCAUGGUUAGGUUUCUGCAUAUUCUCCGAUCCAUUCCUUGCUUUCGCUAUUUACUUAUUUCUCA